rnacentral:rRNA from 1 species
UACAGAGGGUGCAAGCGUUAAUCGGAAUUACUGGGCGUAAAGCGCACGUAGGCGGUUUUUUAAGUCAGAUGUGAAAGCCCCGGGCUCAACCUGGGAAUUGCAUUUGAAACUGGGAAACUAGAGUGUGUGAGAGGGGGGUAGAAUUCCAAGUGUAGCGGUGAAAUGCGUAGAGAUUUGGAGGAAUACCAGUGGCGAAGGCAGCCCCCUGGCACAACACUGACGCUCAGGUGCGAAAGCGUGGGGAGCAAACAGG